rnacentral:rRNA from 1 species
UGCUGCAUGGCUGUCGUCAGCUCGUGUCGUGAGAUGUUGGGUUAAGUCCCGCAACGAGCGCAACCCUUGUCUUUAGUUGCCAUCAUUAAGUUGGGCACUCUAAAGAGACUGCCGGUGUCAAACCGGAGGAAGGUGGGGAUGACGUCAAGUCCUCAUGGCCUUUAUGACCAGGGCUACACACGUACUACAAUGGCAGGUACAAAGGGCAGCCACUUAGCGAUAAGGCGCGAAUCCCAUAAAACCUGUCUCAGUCCGGAUUGGAGUCUGCAACUCGACUCCAUGAAGUUGGAAUCGCUAGUAAUCGCAGAUCAGCACGCUGCGGUGAAUACGUUCCCGGGCCUU